UACAGAGGUCUCAAGCGUUGUUCGGAUUCAUUGGGCGUAAAGGGUGCGUAGGCGGCGUGGUAAGUCGGGUGUGAAAUCUCGGAGCUUAACUCCGAAACUGCAUUCGAUACUGCCGUGCUUGAGGACUGGAGAGGAGACUGGAAUUUACGGUGUAGCGGUGAAAUGCGUAGAUAUCGUAAGGAAGACCAGUGGCGAAGGCGGGUCUCGUGGACAGUUCCUGACGCUGAGGCACGAAGGCCAGGGGGAGCAAACGGG
rnacentral:rRNA from 1 species